GCGGGACAAUAGUAAGAAAUUUAAUAAUUUAAUUAAUUAACGGUCAAAAUUAACAAAUUAAGGCAAAAUUAACUUUUGUUUACGACCAAAACAACGCCACCUCUUUUUACAUCACAUUGAUUUGGCAGCUUGACAUUGCGCGGGAUAUUUGUUGUUGUGUUUGGUCAAAUUUUGUUUUGUUUUGAUUGCGUAUUUGCGUUAACCAAACCAAAGGGCAUUGCUCGCCAGGAAUCUGCUCCAACAAGCCAACUGGUUGAACUCCUGCCAGAUGUACAUCGCUUUUACUGCAUCGGAAAGUACAAUAAUGCCAGUUCACUUGGAACUGUGGCGUUCCAGAUCCUAACCUGUCUCCUGAACGUGGUCAACCGGAUCCAGGCAGACAACGUCCAACAUCAUUUCCAUCGGCAUGAUUAACUCUGGAAAAUUAGCUGACUCGUCCCCAUUGGAUGAUCGCAAAUGAAUUCACGGGGCUUCGACAAAUCGCCGUGUCUGUUUUCGAGUGCAAACUGGCCUCCAACCCUGCCUUCCCAACAUUUACAGCACCGAUUUCAUGGAUUUCGUCUAGGAAAAGCGCCUGCACCUGAACAUCAACGAAGAAGCCAUCGAAGAUGAUCCAGCGGACGUACAUUUUGUGACCGGAAGACCCGGAAUAUGAGGUGGAUGGGCCAGGACCAAGAGCCAAUUGUGGCGAAUCAUGUAACGAUGUAAAAUUACGUACGUGUUCCAGAGAAGUGGUUAGGACGGAAGAUGCCUGCGAGAGCAGAGUUUUCGGUAAAAUUAUUUUGGUAAUAAAAAGCGAACAAAAAAAAAA